CCUGCUGUAGAAUGAGGACCGUCUGCGUCAGGCUGUGGAAUUGCUGGGCAAAGCUUCCAGGCUGCUGGUGCGGUUAAAAAGGUUGGAUGAGGCCGCCGUGGCGCUGCAGAAAGAGAAGAACAUGUACAAGGAGAUUGAGAACUUUCCAAUGUGUUUCAAGAAAACGACGGCCCAGGUGCUGAUCCACCUUCACCGAGGCGACUAUGUUGCGGCGGACAAGUGCGUCAGAGAGAGCUACAGGUGGGAAGCAACGUCACAACCACAUCACGUUUAACAUCCACUCUCUAGUUGAAAUCUCUCACUUUUGAGGGAAGACAAUGCGCACAUCCGACAACAUUGCGGCUCUGCUUACCUUUUGAUUUCGUGAUGACAGUGCCCACGCGUAGUCCUCUUGGUGAGCGGGCAUUAGAGAGCCAACUAAUUGAAUAGAAGCUGUUAAAUUGU